ACGCUCGACACCUACGGGAGCAGCAGUAGGGAAUCUUCCACAAUGGACGCAAGUCUGAUGGAGCAACGCCGCGUGAGUGAAGAAGGUUUUCGGAUCGUAAAGCUCUGUUGUUGGUGAAGAAGGAUAGAGGUAGUAACUGGCCUUUAUUUGACGGUAAUCAACCAGAAAGUCACGGCUAACUACGUGUCAGCAGCCGCGUAAUCUGAGCGGGCUGGCAAGGC
rnacentral:rRNA from 1 species